GCCCAGCCGCUCCAUGGCAUGUGGAAUCCUCCUGGACCAGGGCACGAACCCUGCGUUGGCAAGCAGACUCUCAACCACUGCGCCACCAGGGAAGCUCCUCAUCUGCUUUUUCUACCAAUUACAAAAGGUAUCUUCUGAGAUGUCCAUCAUUCAGUGUGGUCCUCAGUCAUUGAUCCAUACUAUCUGCGACUGAGAUGUCUUCAUUCCUGUCUGCCUAGUCCUUUCAGAUCCAUGGUUGGUUGAACCUGGGGAUGUGAAGCCCAUGGAUCCAGAGGGCCGUCUUUAUAGCACUCUGGAUUCAUUUCAAGACCACACACGCCUAGGUCAUUUUGAUCAAAAGUGCCCUUGGGAAAUCUCACCUCCUCUAGGAAGCCUUCCAGAGUAAUUCAGAGAAGAGUCAAAAGCUGUUUUGUCUUGUCUGUCUGGAACACCUACAGGUAACCACACCCCUGCCCCAUCUCCUUUAUGGUGACUACACACAGAGGCUCUCAGUAAAUAUUUGAUGAAUGAAUGAAUGGAUUCUUAAGAAGUGCAUUGACCACUUACUAUGUGCCUGGCAUAUCUUGGGAGAUACAAACUCAAGUCAGACAUGGACCCUGGCCUCACAGAACAAACAAUCUAAUGAAUGAUGUCAAUACAUCAUAAACCCCUCAAUUCUCACUUGCAGCUUCACUCAGCCCCUGUCCUGUGUGAGCUCCAAGUUGGUGUUCACAUGCACCCAUGCAUUAAGGCACAUUUUAAAGUACGUACUCUGUGCCCAGAAGGUGGUAGAGACCCAGAGAUGAAAGACCUGGUUCCUGCACUUAAGGAUUUCACAAACUACUAGAGGCAGUGGCCUGGCAGGGAAGGGGAGGAAUGAACCACAUACACUUCCAUCACUGUGUGGUAAGUACAGUGAUGAGGAUUUUGGGGGCUGUUCUGAGUGCAGGUAGGAUCUAUAACGCUGAGAAGCAGUGAGGCAUGUGGAAGGAAGCCUGGCUUCCAGUCCACGUGGGCCACUUGCUUGUAACCUAAGAUAAAACAUAAUGCACCUCACCACAGGGUCACGAACAAAUGAGAUGAGGUGGGUAAACUGUAAAGGACCAUUCAAAUGUUAAUUAUUAAAGGAAUUUUCUUGCUGACAAAGCCGUUUCUGUCCAUAGCAAUAUUGUUGGACUGGCUCACUUGAAUAAAAGAUGUAUUUCUCCCAUCCCUGAAGCUGCACUUUGGAGCAGCUUAAUUUCCUACUGGCUUGAUUUUUUUUCUACUAAAAGAGAGGCUAACCUCAAUCCACUCUGCCCUGUGUUCUAGAGCCUGGAUACCUUAGUGAGAGCCUCACAGAGGUCCACAGCCCCAAGCAAGGGCCAGAAGUAGUUCUAAGCAGUUAGCUUCAGGACUUGGCUACACGGAGAGGAAUGACUUGUUCCUGGAAUGGAAUUCUCCCCACACACCAAAUGCUAGCUGGGAGGGGAGACCGGGCUAGAGAACUUCCAAGCUUGACUGCAGGGCUUUGGGAAUGUUUCAUUUGUUCCAGCAAGGGAUUUGUAACUGGAAUGCAACACAGUCAAGUGUGCUAGAAAACACUCCAACUUCUCUUAGCUUUUGAAUGCCUUUCUCUGUAAUACAAACACUCUUGGACAUCUUUAGAAACUUUAAAAAAUCAUUUUGCUGUUUUUGCCUUGAUUAUGAUAAAGUCAUGAUUUGUAGUCAGUGUUUUUAUUUUUAGAUUAUCAUCUUACGAAAUACAAUAAUGCUAAUUUAAUACAAUAGGUAGUAAUAUUCAUAAGGAAACAGAUGCCAAUCUCUCUAUUUAACAAAUGAAGCAACGUGUUAAACUGAUUUAAAAUAACUGUCUAAAAAUGAUUUGUUGUUGAAUAAAUUUUCAAAUAACCUAUUGUGUUUCGUUGGGGAACCACAUGAAUAUUAAGACAGACUGAAAUUUCACUAGUGUUGAAUGAUGGCAUCAAAAACAGGUAAAGUUUUUUCACUACCUACUAUAUAGAAUUCUUGAGAUUUCCCUCGAGUUAUUUUGAUAAAUUUUAGUGUUUUGUUUCUAAAUGGCAAGAAAAGAGGAGAAGGUUUUCAGUUGCUGUUUGCAUGCAUGUCUCAAAAAAUAAGACACAUAGGGCUUCCCUGGUGGUGCAGUGGUUAAGAAUCUGC